rnacentral:tRNA from 1 species
UCCAAGGUAGCUCAAUGGCGGAGCACUCGGCUGUUAACCGAUAGGUUGUGGGUUCGAGUCCCACCCUUGGAGCCA